rnacentral:rRNA from 1 species
GUAGUCCUGGCUGUAAACGAUGUCGACUUGGAGGUUGUGCCCUUGAGGCGUGGCUUCCGGAGCUAACGCGUUAAGUCGACCGCCUGGGGAGUACGGCCGCAAGGUUAAAACUCAAAUGAAUUGACGGGGGCCCGCACAAGCGGUGGAGCAUGUGGUUUAAUUCGAUGCAACGCGAAGAACCUUACCUGGUCUUGAUAUCCACAGAACUUUCCAGAGAUGGAUUGGUGCCUUCGGGAACUGUGAGACAGGUGCUGCAUGGCUGUCGUCAGCUCGUGUUGUGAAAUGUUGGGUUAAGUCCCGCAACGAGCGCAACCCUUAUCUUUUGUUGCCAGCGGUCCGGCCGGGAACUCAAAGGAGACUGCCAGUGAUAAACUGGAGGAAGGUGGGGAUGACGUCAAGUCAUCAUGGCCCUUACGACCAGGGCUACACACGUGCUACAAUGGCGCAUACAAAGAGAAGCGACCUCGCGAGAGCAAGCGGACCUCAUAAAGUGCGUCGUAGUCCGGAUUGGAGUCUGCAACUCGACUCCAUGAAGUCGGAAUCGCUAGUAAUCGUGGAUCAGAAUGCCACGGUGAAUACGUUCCCGGGCCUUGUACACACCGCCCGUCACACCAUGGGAGUGGGUUGCAAAAGAAGUAGGUAGCUUAACCUUCGGGAGGGCGCUUACCACUUUGUGAUUCAUGACUGGGGUGAAGUCGUAACAAGGUAACCGUAGGGGAACCUGCGGCUGGAUCACCUCC